AUUCCUCUGUCCUACUCGCCAGAUCUAGAUCUGCACCAAAUUCCUCUCUCUGCAUUUUCAAAAUUUGAAUUCCCAAGUGGAAAGAGAGGAGAGGGAGACAGAGAGAGAACGAGAAAUAGAGAGAGAUGCGAUGGAGAAGGAGAGAUGACGGCAUGAGAAACCCUAAAUACAAAAUCGUUCAGAUCUUGAAGGAUUUCCGAUACAAAACCUUUGUUAGACGAAUAACAUGAAGCCGGUUUCUUCAUCCGUAUGCGGACAACCAGGUCAGUGAAAUUUGAAUCGCCUUUUUGAAGGUUUUCUUGAGUUGCAGCAGAAAACAGAGGCUGCAAGAAAUCAAUUGGAGGCAAUGAAGCAAAAGAAACAAACUUUAGAAGCUGAAGUUAGGUUCUUGAGGCGUCGACGCAAAUUUUUAUUGAAAACGAGAACAUCAACUUCACAAGAAGUGAUUUUACCGAAUAUAGAAACAACCCAAUACAGGAAAAGCAAGAAGGAGAAGGUUAAUAACCCGAAGAAGGCUACGACUUUGACGAAUUUGCCCCCGACUCCAAACGUAAUCCAGAGGGGGGAAAAUGUAUACAAAGAAGAAAAACAUUAUUAAUAACUUGGGAAGAAAUGUAAAUUUGUAUGGUGUUGAUCUAAACCAAAGGGUUAUAGGGAACAAUUCAUUUCCAGUGACCGAAUUUGUUCAGAAAGAAAACGGUGUUAGUGGUGAGAAACCGUUGGUUCAAGCACGUGCUCCUAUAUUCGACUUGAACCAGAUAUCAAUGGAAGAAGAAGUGCAAGAGAGCUUUGACGAUCAAAGAAAAGAACAACAGAAUGAUUUAAUGUUAUCGGUUUGUAGGAACGUUGGCGAUGGUUCAACGAAUCGAUCAGGGAAGAGGAAGAUCUCAUGGCAAGAUCCUGUGGCUUUGCGCGUAUGAUCCAAAGGUUAAUUAGCCAUAAUUAUAUACUUCAAGAUAACGACUUUGAUGUUGAGUUGGUAAUCGGUUAUGGUUAUGUUGAUAUGUUUUUUAUAGUAAGUUUAUGGUUUUAAACAAGUUUGUGUAAAUAAAGGUUUGUGGGAUUACUGAUUUUUAUUUAUUUUUUACAAUUUAUGACAAGACAGUAUGAAACUAUGAAUGAUGAA